rnacentral:rRNA from 1 species
GACGUAGGGCGCGAGCGUUGUCCGGAUUUAUUGGGCGUAGAGAGCUCGUAGGCGGUUUGUUGCGUCGGCUGUGAAAACCCAUGGCUUAACUGUGGGCUUGCAGCCGGAUACGGGCAGACUAGAGUUCGGUAGGGGAGACUGGAAUUCCGUGGUGUAGCGGUGAAAUGCGCAGAAUAUCGAGGAGGAACACCGGUGGCGAAGGCGGGUCUCUGGGCCGAUGACUGACGCUGAGGAGCGAAAGCGUGGGGGAGCGAACAGG